GGAACGAAGAUGCAGAGGAAGAAGGAAAAAAACAAAACAUAAGGGGCCCUUUCCUCCCGGUUUUUGGACGGGAGGAGGAAGUGAAUUCAGGGCAGCUGCAGAAAGAGGUCGAAGGUGGCUACCGCGGCUAAGAUACUCAUUCUGUCCAUUCUGAUGAGAAUCCGGCACAGCUUUGCGAUACAAAGCCGUUUGCAAAAAUCGGAGGCUGAGUAAAUUACAGCAGGUUGCAAAUCGAGGAUGGUCUCUAGAGCUACGCCAGGGAUCCCAGUCUAGCCCCGCAAAUUUGGAGCGAGCUGCACGGAGCUCGUCUAGGCUUCCUUAGAGGAAAUCCGCCGGGGGGGGGGAACUGGUGCAUGCUGCCUUCUCUUCUGACCGCGAAAAGGACUGCCGUGCAAUGCAGAGGGGAGAGUGAGUGGGUCUGAAAACAAGACGUGAAGUGAUGCUUGCUUUAGAGGAAUUGAAAAAAGAAAAAUCCACCUCGGGGCGGCCUUCCUCUUUGUUAUUACAUCUCACAUCAAUCCAACUGCAGGAUGAAGGUUGUGGACCCACACUGGCACAGUACAAGGUGGCCAUUUUCUGCUUGAUGGCCAAAUUAAAGAUAAAUGCCUCUAAGAAGUGGGAAUGGAUGCCCUGAAGCAGCCUUUCUAUUGCAUGCAGAGGACAAACUGACCAGGUUACCUGAGAAGACAUUUCCCUUGCAAGACGAGAUACCUGGAACCAUCCUUUUCAAGGAUACCUUGCUUCCUUUGCAUCUGAAGAUUGUUGCUAUUUUCACAUCUUGUUUCCAGAUGCAAGACAAAACAAAUUGACUUGUUUGUGCAAAAAAAAUCUUAUCUUUACUUUAGGCAGCAUUCCACAAUUUAAUAUUCCCCUAGCUCACAGGUCGGCAACCUGCGGCUCCGGAGCCGCAUGCGGCUCUUUGAGCCUUCCCCUGUGGCUCCCCGCCUCCUCUGCCUUUGCAGAGAGAGACAGAGAGAGGCAAUUGCGCUUCCCUGCUCUCU